AUUGAACGCUGGCGGCAGGCCUAACACAUGCAAGUCGAGCGGAUGAAGGGAGCUUGCUCCUGGAUUCAGCUGCGGACGGGUGAGUAAUGCCUAGGAAUCUGCCUGGUAGUUGGGGAUAACGUCCGGAAACGGGCGCUAAUACCGCAUACGUCCUGAUGGAGAAAGUGGGGGAUCUUCGGACCUCACGCUAUCAGAUGAGCCUAGGUCGGAUUAGCUAGUUGGUGGGGUAAAGGCCUACCAAGGCGACGAUCCGUAACUGGUCUGAGAGGAUGAUCAGUCACACUGGAACUGAGACACGGUCCAGACUCCUACGGGAGGCAGCAGUGGGGAAUAUUGGACAAUGGGCGAAAGCCUGAUCCAGCCAUGCCGCGUGUGUGAAGAAGGUCUUCGGAUUGUAAAGCACUUUAAGUUGGGAGGAAGGGCAGUAAGUUAAUACCUUGCUGUUUUGACGUUACCAACAGAAUAAGCACCGGCUAACUUCGUG
rnacentral:rRNA from 1 species